rnacentral:rRNA from 1 species
UUGAACGCUGGCGGCAUGCCUUACACAUGCAAGUCGAACGGUAACAGGGAGCUUGCUCCGCUGACGAGUGGCGAACGGGUGAGUAAUGUAUCGGAACGUACCAUUCAGUGGGGGAUAACGUAGCGAAAGUUACGCUAAUACCGCAUAUUCUGUGAGCAGGAAAGCAGGGGAUCGCAAUACCUUGCGCUGAUUGAGCGGCCGAUAUCAGAUUAGCUAGUUGGUGAGGUAAAAGCUCACCAAGGCGACGAUCUGUAGCGGGUCUGAGAGGAUGAUCCGCCACACUGGAACUGAGACACGGUCCAGACUCCUACGGGAGGCAGCAGGGGGGAAUUUUGGACAAUGGGGGCAACCCUGAUCCAGCUAUGCCGCGUGAGUGAAGAAGGCCUUCGGGUUGUAAAGCUCUUUCAGCCGGGAAGAAAACGCAUGGGUUAAUACCCUGUGUGGAUGACGGUACCGGAAUAAGAAGCACCGGCUAACUACGU